UACGUAGGUGGCAAGCGUUGUCCGGAUUUACUGGGCGUAAAGAGCGCGCAGGCGGUCGUUCAAGUCGCGUGUGAAAGCCCCCGGCUCAACUGGGGAGGGUCACGCGAUACUGAUCGACUCGAAGGCAGGAGAGGGUAGUGGAAUUCCCGGUGUAGUGGUGAAAUGCGUAGAGAUCGGGUGGAACACCAGUGGCGAAGGCGGCAUCCUGGCCCUGACCUGACGCUGAGGCGCGAGAGCGUGGGGAGCAAACGGG
rnacentral:rRNA from 1 species